rnacentral:miRNA from 1 species
AUAUGUAGCCUGCUCGCAGCCUGAAAUUUAGAAGGGGAAAUUUUCCCCCUUCUAAAUUUCAGGCUGCGUGCAGGCUAACUCA